UUCCGUCAAUAUUUGACAAUUGUUCUUCUGGCGUAGAUGAUUUCUAGAGAUAUAAUUGCAAAUUGUAAAUGUGCGAUAAAAAAGAAAGUUCUACAAAGCGUCUGGUGAAAGCUUAACUGAUUCCUUAACAUUCGAAAACUAUAGAACUUACCGCUCCCAACCUCUCUCAGAAAGGUCCUUCAACAAAUGAAGAGAUAAUGGCGGAAUGGAUGAGCUCUCCUUCAAAUGGAGGGCUCAUCCAUACCGGGGUGUUAUAUGACUUUUUGGUUGCUGCUUUUUCUUCGGUGUUUUUUUUUUUUUUUUUCUUUUUU